ensembl:misc_RNA Y_RNA Y RNA
GGAUGGUCCAAAGAUAGUGAGUUAUCUCAACUGAUUGUUCACGUAAGUUACAGAUCAAACUCCUUGUUCUGCCCUUUCCUCUCUUCUCACUACUGCCCUUGACUAGUCCAAA